GACGAACGCUGGCGGCGUGCUUAACACAUGCAAGUCGAACGGAAAGGCCCUGCUUUUGUGGGGUGCUCGAGUGGCGAACGGGUGAGUAACACGUGAGUAACCUGCCCUUGACUUUGGGAUAACUUCAGGAAACUGGGGCUAAUACCGGAUAGGAGCUCCUGCUGCAUGGUGGGGGUUGGAAAGUUUCGGCGGUUGGGGAUGGACUCGCGGCUUAUCAGCUUGUUGGUGGGGUAGUGGCUUACCAAGGCUUUGACGGGUAGCCGGCCUGAGAGGGUGAACGGCCACAUUGGGACUGAGAGACGGCGCAGACUCCUACGGGAGGCAGCAGUGGGGAAUAUUGCGCAAUGGGCGGAAGCCUGAUACAGCAACGCCGCGUGCGGGAUGACGGCCUUCGGGGUGUAAACCGCUUUCGCCUGUAACGAAGCGUGAGUGACGGUAAUAGAUAAAGAAGCACCGGCUAACUACGUG
rnacentral:rRNA from 1 species